rnacentral:lncRNA from 1 species
GAUCACAGAUGGAUGAAAAUGGAUUAGGGCCACAGGAGCACUCAUAAUGGGCACACGAGGAAAUCGUGAUGGUAUGGACAAGCUAGAGAGUAAAGGAGAUUUGAUCUUAACCGCAUGCACAAAGGCCCACGUUUUGUAAAAGGAUUAAAAAAAAUGCCAUAUAAAGAAGGUAUAGAGGUAGUAGCGAGGGAUCCUGCCUAUAGGGGAAACUUGCAUGGGAAUAAGAAAUCAUAGCAGAUAACCCAGAUUAAUUCAACAGAAAAUAAUAAGCACCAACACACAAACUGGAAGAGAUUUGCAUGUGAAACAAUGGAAAUAAGGAAUGGAGUGAGCGUUGGAAUCGGGAAAAGGAAGUAUGUAAAUGAAAGUACUGAUGAUAUGGAGGUUGACAAUGUUGGAAAAAAGAGUAAGGGAGACGAUGAGGCAAAUAAGGGAAUUGACAAAAGUAAAACGGCAGUGAUUGGUUACUAGUCCCACCUAGACUAAUGAGAUGCUCACCUUGAACUGCCGUGGGCUUGGGAACCCACGAGCAAUUCGAGCUCUUCAGCGCUUUUGAAAGACGCUAUUCAGGAACAAAUGGAACGUUUUCGACUUCAAGAACAAUUAUAAAUAUAAAAUUCUAACUUACUUAAAUUUAAUCUUACUUAAAUUUAAUUUAAAUAGAAAAUUUUAAAUAAAAUUAGAAUUAUAAAUUCUAAUAUUCUAAUAAAAAUAUAAAUUAACAAAUAUAUAAGUAUAAAUAUAAUAAUUAGAUAAUUAUCUAAAAUUAUAAUAUUAUUAUUUAUAUAGAAAUAGAAUAAUUUAUAUAGAAUAUAUAAAUAUUCUAUAUAUUUCAAUAUAUAUAUUGAAAUAUAUUGAAAUAU